rnacentral:rRNA from 1 species
GAACGAACGCUGGCGGCAUGCCUAACACAUGCAAGUCGAACGAGACCUUCGGGUCUAGUGGCGCACGGGUGCGUAACGCGUGGGAACCUGCCCUUAGGUUCGGAAUAACUCCCCGAAAGGGGUGCUAAUACCGGAUAAUGUCUUCGGACCAAAGAUUUAUCGCCUUUGGAUGGGCCCGCGUUGGAUUAGCUAGUUGGUAGGGUAAAAGCCUACCAAGGCGACGAUCCAUAGCUGGUCUGAGAGGAUGAUCAGCCACACUGGGACUGAGACACGGCCCAGACUCCUACGGGAGGCAGCAGUGGGGAAUAUUGGACAAUGGGCGAAAGCCUGAUCCAGCAAUGCCGCGUGAGUGAUGAAGGCCUUAGGGUUGUAAAGCUCUUUUACCCGGGAUGAUAAUGACAGUACCGGGAGAAUAAGCGCCGGCUAACUCCGUG